ACAGUCAUACCAUACUGAAAGCACCGGUUCUCGUCCGAUCACCGAAGUUAAGCAUCAUUGGGAUCGGUCAGUAUUUGGGAGAUUGACCUC